GCCGGGUGUGGUGGCUCACACCUGUAAUCCUAGCACUUGUGGGAGGCCGAGGCGGGUGGAUCACCUGAGGCCGGGACUUCAAGACCAGCCUGGCCAACAUGGUGAAACCCUGUCUCUA
rnacentral:SRP_RNA from 2 species